UGUCAGGAGGAGUGCAGGUAGAGGAGUGUUUGAAGCUGUGCCCGUGUUGUGUUAUAAACUGUAACAACAUGGCUGUGUGUCAGGAGGAGUGCAGGUAGAGGAGUGUUUGAAGCUGUGCCCGUGUUGUGUUAUAAACUGUAACAACAUGGCUGUGUGUCAGGAGGAGUGCAGGUAGAGGAGUGUUUGAAGCUGUGCCACGUGUUGUGUUAUAAACUGUAACAACAUGGCUGUGUGUCAGGAGGAGUGCAGGUAGAGGAGUGUUUGAAGCUGUGCCCGUGUUGUGUUAUAAACUGUAACAACAUGGCUGUGUGUCAGGAGGAGUGCAGGUAGAGGAGUGUUUGAAGCUGUGCCACGUGUUGUGUUAUAAACUGUAACAACAUGGCUGUGUGUCAGGAGGAGUGCAGGUAGAGGAGUGUUUGAAGCUGUGCCCGUGUUGUGUUAUAAACUGUAACAACAUGGCUGUGUGUCAGGAGGAGUGCAGGUAGAGGAGUGUUUGAAGCUGUGCCCGUGUUGUGUUAUAAACUGUAACAACAUGGCUGUGUGUCAGGAGGAGUGCAGGUAGAGGAGUGUUUGAAGCUGUGCCCGUGUUGUGUUAUAAACUGUAACAACAUGGCUGUGUGUCAGGAGGAGUGCAGGUAGAGGAGUGUUUGAAGCUGUGCCCGUGUUGUGUUAUAAACUGUAACAACAUGGCUGUGUGUCAGGAGGAGUGCAGGUAGAGGAGUGUUUGAAGCUGUGCCCGUGUUGUGUUAUAAACUGUAACAACAUGGCUGUGUGUCAGGAGGAGUGCAGGUAGAGGAGUGUUUGAAGCUGUGCCCGUGUUGUGUUAUAAACUGUAACAACAUGGCUGUGUGUCAGGAGGAGUGCAGGUAGAGGAGUGUUUGAAGCUGUGCCCGUGUUGUGUUAUAAACUGUAACAACAUGGCUGUGUGUCAGGAGGAGUGCAGGUAGAGGAGUGUUUGAAGCUGUGCCCGUGUUGUG